AGUGCUCCUCCGGUAGCAGGGAGGCGACAGAAGGAGUAUGGAUGUGUCCAACAGCCAAAAACUCAAGAAAGUAAAUUGAAAAUUGGUGGUGUGUCUUCAGUUAAUGAGAGACCUAUUGCCCAGCAGUUGAACCCAGGCUUUCAGCUUUCUUUUGCAUCAUCUGGCCCAAGUGUGUUGCUUCCUUCAGUUCCAGCUGUUGCUAUUAAGGUUUUUUGUUCUGGUUGUAAAAAAAUGCUUUAUAAGGGCCAAACUGCAUAUCAUAAGACAGGAUCUACUCAGCUCUUCUGCUCCACACGAUGCAUCACCAGACAUUCUUCACCUGCCUGCCUGCCACCUCCUCCCAAGAAAACCUGCACAAACUGCUCGAAGUAUAAAAUUCUUAACAUCCCUUUUUACUUUACCUUUUUUUUAGUGUGUAUAUUGUUUAGUUCAAACAUACUGUUGAUACUUUAAAUCUCUUCAGCAUGUAUCUGUAGAAAUAACUUUUUAGUUAAUGGAAGAAUUCACCAAUUUUAAAGUUUUGCAACAUUAAAUAAGUGACUUGGUGUUAGAAUAUUGCCUAAACCAGUUUUCUAUCACUUUAAAUUUUACUAUGGAAAGAAAUAACAAAUGACAUGUGGGAAUUGCAGGACUAUCCUGUAAUUGUAGACACCCACCAUUUAAAUUUAUUUAACAGUUAUCUUGAAAGCUAUUGGGUAUAGCAUAAAAUAAUAUCACUCUUUUAAUAGUAUACAAAAGCUAUUUAAUUCUUUAAAAAGUAAAAACUCUACAUGGUCGCAAAAAUGUGUUUAUUUCUAAUGUCCUUGUGGGGUCAUUGUUGCUUUACAAUAAUGCUUAGAUGCAGAGAGAGGAAAAAACAGCAACAAAGUCACAUAAAUCUUUCCCUGACUUAGUACAUUUGAAGGAUUUGGCAUAUUUUGCCUAUUUCUGUGGUAGUGUAAUUUGAGGAAUACAGUGUGUUGUUAAUAGUCACUACAGGCAAAAAACAGUAAGAGCUUGCUUUUAAAUUGUGGCUCUGUCAUUUAUCUCUGUGACUUCGGGCUAGAUGUUUAACUUUCUAAGCCUCCAUUUCUCAUCAGUAAAUAAUAGUUGCUUCCUAGGACUUUAAUGAGACAGUGUUAGCAAAUGGCCUAGCACAUAGCAAGUACUUAAAAAAUGGAAUCCUGUUAUUAUUAAUAAUAAAAAUUAUAUCGUGCGAUUAUUUAUAAUUAACAUAAAUAAAUAUAAUAAAUAUAUGUGUAUAUAAUACAUAUUACUAUGUAUACUUAACAUAUCACUUGUAGGCCCCUAUUUUGUCUUUGGCUGUGUUUAUCUGCUUUGUGUCUUGACUUAAACUAUUUAAAAGUAGAUCCUGCUAUAUGGAAAUUUCCAAGUAAAGAGGAGAGAGGAUUUUUUUUUUUCUUUGUUGCCCAUGGUAGAGUGAUCACAGCUCACUGCAGCCUUGAACUCCCCGGGCUCAGAUGAUCCUCCCACCUCAGCCUUUCAAAUAGCUGGGACCACAGGCGCAUACCACCAUGCCCGACUAAUUUUUGUAUUUUUUUGUAGAGAUGGUUUUGCUAUGUUGCCCAGGCUGGUCUCAAACUCCUGGGCUCAAGCAAUUAGCCUGCCUCAGCCUCCUAAAGUGCUGGGACUAUUGGUGUGAGCCAUCACAUGUGGCCAGGAGAGAGGAAUUUUAAAAUAUUUAUAUACUCUAAAUUAGUUUGUUGCAAAAUACCAUUCUAAUUAAUGCUUUUAUGUCAUUCUCAUGAAACUAAUCUGAAAGAGUAAACUUAGUUUUCUAUUUUUAGAUAUUGUUUCAACAUACCAAAUACCAAAAUAAAAUUAAAUAAUUUUAAAGAACAUAACACAACUUAUACAUCCAAAUGCCUAUUGUUUUCUUAAAAGUAGUCACCCCCGUCAGUGACUUUUUAGCAUAAGGUUAGGAGACAGAUUCUUAUCUUUUCAGCAUGCAUUUGAUUUUUACAAAUUUUCAAAGGCUGCUUGAUACCUUAAUCAGGCCAAUAUAUUAGCUAAUUAAAUUAAGUCAUACUGUUAAAACAUGAUAUUUAUAAAAUUAAAAGUUAAAAAAUAGUCUAAGGGUUUAUCUUAAGUUUUAUCUUAAAAAAAUUAGAAAAAUGUUUUGAGCUAUGUUAUUGUUGGAAGGUGUGGUUUUUCUACGGUAAAUGUUACGAUAUAACACUCAUUUGCAUGUGUAAGGUUCAGAGUACACUUAUAAUUUAUGUGCACAGAUUUUCAUUAUAAAGUCAUUCUCUUUGAUUUACAUAUUUUUACUUGCUAUUUUUGUACUUAUUAUGCCACUGGCAGAUUCACCUUAUUAAGUGAAACUCUUUAUUGCUCUGUUUUCAGUAGAAAAAUCACUUUUCAAAAUUAAUACUUCAUCUGUGUAUAAGCAUAUUCUUUUGGUUUCUAAGAUUUGCUGUCAUAUUUUUAAAGUUGAGUUUUAAAGAAUUAAAAUAAUUUUUGUUGUUGUU
rnacentral:lncRNA from 1 species